GAUGAAGAACGUAGUGAAAUGAGAUAAGUAAUGUGAAUUGCAGAAUUCAGUGAAUCAUCGAAUCUUUGAACGCACAUUGCGCCCGGCAGUACUCUGCCGGGCAUGCCUGUUCGAGCGUCAUUUCAACCCUCAAGCCCUGCUUGGUGUUGGGGUCCCACGGCCGCCGUGGGCCCUGAAAGGAAGUGGCGGGCUCGCUACAACUCCGAGCGUAGUAAUUCAUUAUCUCGCUUAGGGCGUUGGGCGGCGCUCCUGCCGUUAAAGAACCAUCUUUAACUCAAGGUUGACCUCGGAUCAGGCAGGAAUACCCGCUGAACUUAAGCAUAUCAAUAAGCGGAGGA
rnacentral:misc_RNA from 1 species